AAAAAAGCGGUGCUCAACGCCGUCGAGCCGUUGAAACUGGCGUUCUUGAGUGGGCGAGAAGUAUGCGGAAUGCGUGGUGUAGCGGUGAAAUGCAUAGAUAUCACGCAGAACUCCGAUUGCGAAGGCAGCAUACCGGCGCCCUACUGACGCUGAGGCACGAAAGCGUGGGUAUCGAACAGGAUUAGAUACCCUGGUAGUCCACGCAGUAAACGAUGAAUGCUAACUGUCCGGUGCGAGUGAGCGCUGGGCGGUACAGCGAAAGCGUUAAGCAUUCCACCUGGGGAGUACGCCGGCAACGGUGAAACUCAAAGGAAUUGACGGGGGCCCGCACAAGCGGAGGAACAUGUGGUUUAAUUCGAUGAUACGCGAGGAACCUUACCCGGGCUCAAACGCAGGCUGACGGGUCCCGAAAGGGGCCUUUCUUCGGACAUUCUGCGAGGUGCUGCAUGGUUGUCGUCAGCUCGUGCCGUGAGGUGUCGGCUUAAGUGCCAUAACGAGCGCAACCCCUGUCCACAGUUGCCAGCAGGUAAAGCUGGGGACUCUGUGGAGACUGCCGGCGCAAGCUGCGAGGAAGGCGGGGAUGACGUCAAAUCAGCACGGCCCUUACGUCCGGGGCGACACACGUGUUACAAUGGCAGGUACAGCGGGAUGCCACGGGGCGACCCGGCGCUGAACCCGAAAACCUGUCUCAGUUCGGAUUGGAGUCUGCAACCCGACUCCAUGAAGCUGGAUUCGCUAGUAAUCGCGCAUCAGCCAUGGCGCGGUGAAUACGUUCCCGGGCCUUGUACACACCGCCCGUCAAGCCAUGGGAGUCGGGAGUGCCUGAAGUUCGUGACCGUUUAGGAGCGACCUAGGGCAAGACUGAUGACUGGGGCUAAGUCGUAACAAGGUAACCGUAA
rnacentral:rRNA from 1 species